CUAAAGCAUGUGUAUGAGUAUAUAACAUAUAUAAAACCCUGGCAUUCCAACACAAAAUUACAAGUUCUUUUUUUUUUUCUCAAGAAUAAUUUUGGGUUAAGAGUGUUAUUCUUGUAGACAUGAGUGAGAUCAAAUAUGGCUAUCCAUAUCCUGCUCAAGGCCCUUACCAAGGACCACCUCCGGUGGCGGCACCACCGCAAUACUAUGCUGCUCCACCACCACCACCAAAAAGAGAGCCGGGUUUUCUUGAGGGAUGCCUAGCAGCUUUGUGUUGCUGUUGCCUCUUGGACGAGUGCUGCUGUGACCCAACUAUUAUUUUUGCGAGCUAAUGCAUUUUCACCAAACUGGAAAAGAAGCUAUUGUUGCAACUUGUAACGAUAUUUAGAUUUUAUUAAAAAAAAAAAUAUUACAUUGUUUAGUGGAUAUGUCUUAUCAAUUGUAUGAGUAAGUAAGAAACCAAUAUUUGAUAUUAUAUGAUAUAGUACAUUUAUUAUCUGAAAUGGAAUUCCCCUUUAUAA